rnacentral:rRNA from 1 species
GACGAACGCUGGCGGCGUGCCUAAUACAUGCAAGUAGAACGCUGAAGGAGGAGCUUGCUUCUCUGGAUGAGUUGCGAACGGGUGAGUAACGCGUAGGUAACCUGCCUGGUAGCGGGGGAUAACUAUUGGAAACGAUAGCUAAUACCGCAUAAUAGUAGAUGUUGCAUGACAUUUGCUUAAAAGGUGCAAUUGCAUCACUACCAGAUGGACCUGCGUUGUAUUAGCUAGUUGGUGAGGUAACGGCUCACCAAGGCGACGAUACAUAGCCGACCUGAGAGGGUGAUCGGCCACACUGGGACUGAGACACGGCCCAGACUCCUACGGGAGGCAGCAGUAGGGAAUCUUCGGCAAUGGACGAAGUCUGACCGAGCAACGCCGCGUGAGUGAAGAAGGGUUUCGGAUCGUAAAGCUCUGUUGUAAGAGAAGAACGAGUGUGAGAGUGGAAAGUUCACACUGUGACGGUAUCUUACCAGAAAGGGACGGCUAACUACGUG